UAAUUGAAGAGUUUGAUCAUGGCUCAGAUUGAACGCUGGCGGCAGGCCUAACACAUGCAAGUCGGGCGGUAACAGGGAGAAGCUUGCUUCUCUGCUGACGAGCGGCGGACGGGUGAGUAAUGUAUGGGGAUCUGCCUGAUGGCGGGGGAUAACUACUGGAAACGGUAGCUAAUACCGCAUAAUGUCUUCGGACCAAAGCGGGGGACCUCAGGGCCUCGCGCCAUCAGAUGA
rnacentral:rRNA from 1 species